GCCAUGGCAUCGACUACCGGAACCAGUCUCACUCAUCGCUUGACUGACACCUUCUGCAGACUUCCGAGCAUCGGAGCUCUGCGACUACGCCGGCGCCGCUUCUUACCUUAUCACCGGGGGAUCUGAUCGAACUCUUUGACGAUUUUGAGAGAUCGUUUCUCUUGGUGGUUCUUCGCUUGUUCGGAACAAUGACUCGAGUUUACAUUGGUAAUCUGGAUCCACGCGUUACAGAGAGGGAUCUUGAAGAUGAAUUUCGAAUGUUCGGUGUUCUUAGGAGCGUUUGGGUUGCUAGAAGGCCUCCAGGAUAUGCAUUUAUUGAGUUUGAUGAUCGCAGGGAUGCUCUAGAUGCAAUACAAGCAUUGGAUGGGAAAAAUGGUUGGCGUGUGGAGCUUUCUCAUAACGCUAAAGGCAGUGGAGGUGGUGGCGGUCGUCGUGGCCGUGGUGGUGGUGAUGAUCUGAAAUGUUAUGAAUGUGGUGAACCUGGUCAUUUUGCUCGAGAAUGUCGCUCCCGUGGGGCUUCACGAAGCAUAGGAGGUGGUCUGCGUCGUAGUCCUUCCCCUCGUCGUCGUAGGAGUCCUAGUUAUGAAAGAUAUGGUCGCAGGAGCAACAGUCCUCGUGGCAAAAGAUCCCCAAGACGCCGCAGCAUUACACCUCCUAAGCGUGGUCGGAGCUACAGCAGGUCUCCUCCAUACCGCCAUGCUCGUCGCAGUUCACCUUAUGCUAAUGGAGAUUGAGGCUGGAAUCAAGGCUGAUGCAGUGCUGGUAGAACUUAGAUGAUGGUGUUUCUGCUAUACUGUAGUUCUAAUAGGAAUUGUGGAGUGAACCGGAAUCAUGUAGUUAAGUUCAUCUCUGACAAUUGGUUCUCUUUGAAACCUGGAUAUGGAUGGGUGUCUACGAAGUAUUUUAAGAGCCACGAAAUGGGGUUCUGUUCGGCACCAUUUUGUGUUGGCUCUCUUCCGCCUGCUGAAACUCGGAGGUGUGAUUUUCGGCUAUAAAUGGCAUCGUUACUCAGCUAACUGCAUCUUAGUGCAUCACGGUUCUCAAUAUCUACUCUGCUCCACAAUCAUCUUCUUGUUUCUACAACUGGUUGCAUGCUGUUUGUAUUGCACUCUUCUGCAAGAAGGCAUCCCAUUUAUUUAAACCUUUUUAGCUGGUUGAAGAAGAUGAAGCUGGUUUUAUGUGAUUGUCUGCUCAUCAUCUUCUCGUCUAUCAGCGUUUUACGAGCUUCUAUGCAUGCGCGAAACUAUCCUGAGAUUCUUCUUUUAUAACACCAGCAUCUUGUGAGCUUCAACUCGUUUAUUGCUCUCCCCAACUUUUGGCCUGCUCCACCAAAUCUUGCACCAAUCGUACUUCUCAUUAUUAAAGACUGCUAGUGAUUUGCUUUUAGAUGGUGAAAGCAGUUAACAUCAUGGUUCUGGGCCCUCCAGUGUUUGUUGACUACUCUCUCUCGUUUGUAGUUUGAGGGUCUAGGACUUUGGUAAUUGGGAAUGCUUUGGUUGGUUAGAGUAUAUUUAGAUUCUAUGCUAUGUUUGUUGUUUGCAUUGAGAAUUACAUCAAGACCAGCCCGUUUCAAUUAAAGAAUCAUUGAUUUUAUUGUGAGGUA